UUUCAUUUUAUUUCAUUUUGUUUUUGUUUUUUUUGCUUUUUUCG
rnacentral:ribozyme from 1 species